UGCAAAAUUUGCAAUUUUUAAGUGCCUGCGUAUCAUUCAUCUCACUUUGUCAGAGUAUUAAAGUUUUUGUCAUAACGUAAACAUUAACCUUUCGUCGUAGCAAAGGCGCAUGACGCACCCUGCUCAUAUUAGAUGGGACCCGGGAAGAAAAUGAUAAGAAGCGCUAAGGUCGAGCGAAAUCCAGAGCGAUCGAAGGAGAAAAGGAGAAGGAGAUGACGAGAGGAAAGCAGAAGAUCGAAGCGCAGAAACGAAAUGCAGAGAAGAAUCAGAAGCAAAAGGGAUCUCAGCUCGAGGCCAGAGCCGUCGCCCUUAAAACCAGCUGCCCCAUCUGCAAGGUGCAACUGGCAAAUCAGAAUCAGCUAGUCGAUCAUUAUGCCUCGAAACAUCCCAAGGAGAAACCCCCCAGUGACUCGGGUUGAUUUACCAUGAUAAAUAAUGAAAACUCUCACUUUAUGUAUUUCAGAACUGGAAUGUACUGCUUUCAGUUAUUUGAAUCAAGCUACUAGAUUUCUUCCAA